rnacentral:rRNA from 1 species
UACGAAGGGGGCUAGCGUUGCUCGGAAUUACUGGGCGUAAAGGGCGCGUAGGCGGAUAGUUUAGUCAGAGGUGAAAGCCCAGGGCUCAACCUUGGAAUUGCCUUUGAUACUGGCUAUCUUGAGUACGGAAGAGGUAUGUGGAACUCCGAGUGUAGAGGUGAAAUUCGUAGAUAUUCGGAAGAACACCAGUGGCGAAGGCGACAUACUGGUCCGUUACUGACGCUGAGGCUCGAAAGCGUGGGGAGCAAACAGG